UUCUCUUCUCCUCUUUCUCCAAUCCGCCGAGCAUCCUCCUCUUCUCCUCCAUGGCGUGAUCCUGAUCCUCCUCCUUUCUCAUUGCCUCGUCUCUGCUCUUCCCUCCUCUCUUCUUCUCUCUCUCUUGGCCUCUUCCUCUCUCUUCUGUGCCGUCAAUUUGUGAGGCGAUUAUCUGGAAAAUCGUGAGGAUCCACGCGAC
rnacentral:lncRNA from 1 species